rnacentral:rRNA from 1 species
AGCGAACGCUGGCGGCAGGCUUAACACAUGCAAGUCGAGGGGAGCGGCAGACGGGUGAGUAACGCGUGGGAACGUACCUUUUGGUUCGGAACAACACAGGGCAACUUGUGCUAAUACCGGAUACCGAAAGAUCGGCCCGCGUCUGAUUAGCUAGUGGGUGAGGUAAUGGCUCACCAAGGAGACGCUCAGUAGCUGGUCUGAGAGGAUGAGCAGCCACAUUGGGACUGGGACACGGCCCAGACUCCUACGGGAGGCAGCAGUGGUGAAUAUUGGACAAGGGGGGCAACCUUGAUCCAGCCAUGCCUGGUGAGUGAUGAAGGCCCUAGGGUUGUAAAGCUCUUUUGUGCGGGAAGCGGUACCGCAAGAAUAAGCCCCGGCUAACUUCGUGCCAGCAGCCGCGGUAAUUC